GCUCCGUAGGUGAACCUGCGGAGGGAUCAUUACAGAGUACUCGCCCCUCCGGGUAGGUCUCCCACCCACUGUGAUUGAGACUGUGUUGCUUUCGCGGGGCGCCGGGCCCCGCCCGUCCGCCGGCCCCAGCUGGCGCCGGCCCGCCAGAGGCUACGCCAACUCAGAAUGUCAGCGUGGUCUGAAUACUAUAUAAUAGUUAAAACUUUCAACAACGGAUCUCUUGGUUCUG
rnacentral:misc_RNA from 1 species